UACGGAGGGGGCUAGCGUUGUUCGGAAUUACUGGGCGUAAAGCGCACGUAGGCGGCCGAAUAAGUCAGAGGUGAAAGCCUGGGGCUCAACCCCAGAACUGCCUUUGAGACUGUAUGGCUAGAACGUCGGAGAGGUGAGUGGAAUUCCGAGUGUAGAGGUGAAAUUCGUAGAUAUUCGGAAGAACACCAGUGGCGAAGGCGGCUCACUGGACGACUGUUGACGCUGAGGUGCGAAAGCGUGGGGAGCAAACAGG
rnacentral:rRNA from 1 species